rnacentral:rRNA from 1 species
UCGAGAGGCUUUGGCAAUGGGGGAAACCCUGACCAAGCGACGCCGCGUGGGUGAUGAAGGCCUUACGGUUGUAAAGCCCUGUCAUGGGGGGAGAAAAGGUGGUGGGUUAAUACCCCGCUGCCCUGACGGUACCCCAAGAGGAAGCUCCGGCCAACUCCGUG